GGCCUCGUAGCUCAGCCUGGAUAGAGCGACGGACUUCUAAUCCGUAGGUCGCAGGUUCAAAUCCUGUCGGGGCCG
rnacentral:tRNA from 1 species